GCGGCCAGCAGCCUCGGGGGUGGUUUUUGGGGCGAUUUUCCCUGCUGUAAAAACGCAAACAGCUUGGGUUCUCGGCGUUCGACGACUACCGACUUCUGUUCAAGGCCCGAUUUACGCUACCGACUCUAUCCAAAACAGAUCUAAGUCAUUUACACCUAAACGAAGUCGAUCUCGUGGUGUUGAAAAUACUCAAGGACUAAGAGCGUGGUAGUGUGUAAGUAGUAAUACAGGCGGGUGUGUGCGUUUAUGAACUGUUGAAAAUGUCUUUUGGUUAUUGGGUUAUCAAAAUGCAUAUUUUAUAUCGUUAUGAUUACUUGAUGUGUUAGUUAGGAAUCAUUGAAUGAAUACUCUGAAAUUGGCCAUUCGUGACAGCGUUACGUUGGUGGAGUAGAUUGGAUGAAAUUGUUUAUUUUUCUUUUGUCAGAUGUGUAUUAUAGUUACCUGUUGAAAGGUUCUGUUUAAAAGCUGUGCGAGUUGUAUCUAUCUUUAUCACUUGUGUAAAGCAUGUUGAAAAUGUCUGCGAGUGUUGCUAUUUAUCGUACAAGAGCCAUUACGUGUGCGUUUUCCCUAUUAUGUGAGCAUGCUACUGGUUGUUAAAUGUUGUGUAUAAGAACUUUAUGCGUUAAAAAUCAUGCAGGACAAUAGGUUGUGCUAGGACAUUAAAAGGUGAAAUUAUGAGGCAUAGUAUUGGAAAUCUUGGUUGAAGACAAGGGGUGGGGUGGGAUGUUAUGAAAGAAAACACCACGAGUGAUAGGGCCGGGUGCAAAGGUCGGAAACUGUUAUGGUACUACUGGGUGUCGAGGCUCCAGGUAGAAAGGUUGGGGGUCAAUACGCCAGUCUCAGUACGGACGAGUGUCGAGGCCCCGGGUACAAAGGUCGGAGGUCGGCAUGAAGAAAGAAAUCGUUGGAUUAACACUGCUAGUUGGGUGUCGGGUUCUGGGUACAAAGGACGGGAGUCGACACGCCAACUUGGUUAAAAUGGGUUUCAAGGCUCCGGGUACAAAGGUCGGAGAUCAAUACGUGAAGAUGAGCGUCGAAGCCUUGGGUACAAAGGUCAAGGGUCGAACGCUAAGUUAUGUAAAUGAGUAUCGGGACCUUGGGUACAAAGGUCAAGGGUUCGAUACUAAGCGAAAUGUGGUGACAAAGUUUAGAGGGUGUUUGAGGAUAGGCAGACACCUACCGGCUAAGAGAUGUGGGUUGUGAUAGUUUAAUGCUCGUUGUAAAGAUCCGUGUUAUGACCAUGGUGGUGACGUGGAGAGGGCCCGACUGAG